ensembl:lncRNA
AAAAUUAAAUCAUCUUCAUUACACCUAUUACUGCCAAGGGCUUGUUUUGAAUCGGUAGGUAGUGCUUUUGAAAACAGGCUAUUUCUUUCACAUGUAACUUCUAAGGGAUAUUUUCUCUCUCUCUUUGUGUUUAAUGAGUCUCCAAGGACUCGAACCGAAAGAAAAAAAUGAUUAAUCAGAUUCCAACGUGUCGCUGGAAUGGGAGCGCUAGGGUUCUGAUCUGUUAAGUCUUAUUUUCCCCCACAGGGAAUACGCAGAUUUAAAGGCAUCCCGGUGUUACAAUUGUCUUACAAAGCCAAAGUCACUGAAAGUUCAAACUGCAGACCGCGGGGCAAUUAAACAGAGGCUGCAUGGAGGGGCUGCGUUCUGCGGAAAAAGCUGGCCCGUGCUCUAGCUGCUGCUCAGAUCAUAGAAAGCGAUGAGGACUUAGAAGAGGUGGACAUGGACGAAUUCAUUUUUGAUGAGUCUCCACUCCCUCUUCCGAUUCAAGGGUCUCCAAAGACUGCAUCUAUUUUUCCACUGCAGCCGAAACAUGCCUGGUCAGAUAAUGAAGGUCAGAUAAUGAAGUUUGACUCCUCACCUUAGUAGCAGGUAAUCAAUGGCUUCACGUCUUAUGCUGAUCAUUAUGUAAAUUAACAUGUUGACAAUUUGUUUUUUUUUUGCAAUUUCUAUGGUUUUCUAAACAAAUUUCCAGACCAAGCCUCAAAAUCAGCACCCUAUCUGAGGAAUCAGAAAAAAUCCUCAAAAAAAAUCCUGUUUCUGUGCUACUUUGUGCAGUCCUUUCUCUUCAGUGCCACAAUUCUAAUCAAAUUUAUUAGAAAAUCAUUUAAAAUUUUUAUAGACCAGUGUAGUUACUCUUGUUAACUUCUAUUUCAGUGGAAUCACUAAUGAGUCCACUGCCCUUCUCAUGCUGAAGAGAGCCAACAAAAUGAAAUCAAGAAACAGAAGCAGAAGGGGUUAUUUGUUCACCAAAAGCAAAAGGAAAAACAAUCUUACAAGGAGAGAACUUACCAGUGGCUCCACACACAAGCAGUUCAUCCCGACACAGACUCUGCAGGCACGGGACGGUGAGACACACUGCUCUGAAGUAUAUGCUUCUGAAAAAUAUACACGGAUGGAAGAUAAGUCAUUAACAGUUCAUAAUGGUGAUCAGUUAUAUGGUUUCACAUGUUGUGAAUGUGCUGUGGUGUAA